rnacentral:rRNA from 1 species
GCCUACGGGAGGCAGCAGUCGAGAAUCAUUCACAAUGGGGGAAACCCUGAUGGUGCGACGCCGCGUGGGGGAAUGAAGGUCUUCGGAUUGUAAACCCCUGUCAUGUGGGAGCAAAUUAAAAAGAUAGUACCACAAGAGGAAGAGACGGCUAACUCUGUGCCAGCAGCCGCGGUAAUACAGAGGUCUCAAGCGUUGUUCGGAAUCACUGGGCGUAAAGCGUGCGUAGUCUGUUUCGUAAGUCGUGUGUGAAAGGCGCGGGCUCAACCCGCGGACGGCACAUGAUACUGCGGGACUAGAGUAAUGGG